rnacentral:rRNA from 1 species
UACGUAGGGUGCAAGCGUUGUCCGGAAUUAUUGGGCGUAAAGAGCUCGUAGGCGGCUUGUCGCGUCGACUGUGAAAACCCGAGGCUCAACCUCAGGCCUGCAGUCGAUACGAGCAGACUAGAGUGUUGCAGGGGAGACUGGAAUUCCUGGUGUAGCGGUGAAAUGCGCAGAUAUCAGGAGGAACACCGGUGGCGAAGGCGGGUCUCUGGGCCGAUACUGACGCUGAGGAGCGAAAGCGUGGGGAGCGAACAGG